rnacentral:tRNA from 1 species
GAGGGCAGAGCUCAGUGGUAGAGCGCACACCUGGCAUGCACGAGGUCCUGGGUUUAACCCCCAGCGCCUCCA